AUUGAACGCUGGCGGCAGGCCUCACACAUGCAAGUCGAGCGAGCGGCGGACGGGUGAGAAAUGUAUGGGGACUGCCCGAUAGAGGGGGAUAACUACUGGAAACGGUGGCUAAUACCGCAUACCAUCGGAUAACCCAUAUGAGAUUAGCUAGUAGGUGGGGUAAAGGCUCACCUAGGCGACGAGCUCUAGCUAGUCGGAGAGGAUGAUCCACGACACUGGGACGUAGACACGGCCCAGUGUCCUACGGAGGCAGCAGUGGGGAAUAGUUCGCAUUGGGGGUAAGCAUGAUGCAACCAUGCCACGUGUAUGAAGAAGGCCUUAGGGUUGUAAGGUACGUUCAGCGGGGAGGCGUUACCCGCAUAAGAAGCACCGGCUAACUCCGUGCCAGCAGCCGCGGUAAUAC
rnacentral:rRNA from 1 species